rnacentral:rRNA from 1 species
AUAAAGAAUCGAGCCUGCCCAAUGAAUAUUAAAUGGCCGCAGUACUUUGACUGUGCGAAGGUAGCAUAAUCAUUUGCCUUGUAAUUGAAGGCUGGAAUGAAUGGUGUGACAAGAGCAUAACUGUCUCUUAAUAGUUUUAUAAAAUUUUAGUUUAAAGUGAAGACGCUUUAAUUUGAUUGCUAGACAAGAAGACCCUGUCGAGCUUUAGCUAGUAACAAAGAAUGGUUUGAGUACAAGGUUUUUGUUGGGGCGACUAAGGAACAAUUAAAGCUUCCUUAUUUUUUGUAGACUGAUUAGUGUUGAUCCAUAGUUAUAUGAUUAGUAGAAUUAGUUACCGCAGGGAUAACAGCAUAAUUUUGUUUAAGAGUUCCUAUCGAAAAUAGAGUUUGUGACCUCGAUGUUGGAUUAAAAUUUCCUAAAGGUGUAGUCGUUUUUGAGGGUAGGUCUGUUCGACCUUUAAAAUUUUA